UUAAGUUAAUAAGGGCGCACGGUGGAUGCCUUGGCACUAGAAGCCGAUGAAGGACGUGACUAACGACGAAAUGCUUUGGGGAGCUGUAAGUGAGCAAUGAUCCAGAGAUGUCCGAAUGGGGGAACCCGGCAGGUAAUGCCUGUCACUCAUUACUGUUAAGGUAAUGUAGAGGAAGACGCAGUGAACUGAAACAUCUAAGUAGCUGCAGGAAGAGAAAGCAAAAGCGAUUGCCUUAGUAGCGGCGAGCGAAACGGCAAGAGGGCAAACCGAAGAGUUUACUCUUCGGGGUUGUAGGACUGCAACGUGGACUUAAAGAUUAUAGAAGAACUACCUGGGAAGGUAGGCCAAAGAGAGUAAUAGCCUCGUAUUCGAAAUAGUCUUUAUACCUAGCAGUAUCCUGAGUACGGCGAGACACGAGAAAUCUCGUCGGAAUCUGGGAGGACCAUCUCCCAACCCUAAAUACUCUCUAGUGACCGAUAGUGAACCAGUACCGUGAGGGAAAGGUGAAAAGCACCCCGGGAGGGGAGUGAAAUAGAACCUGAAACCGUGUGCCUACAACAAGUUCGAGCCCGUUAAUGGGUGAGAGCGUGCCUUUUGUAGAAUGAACCGGCGAGUUACGAUAUGAUGCGAGGUUAAGUUGAAGAGACGGAGCCGUAGGGAAACCGAGUCUUAAUAGGGCGCAUUAGUAUCAUGUCGUAGACCCGAAACCAUGUGACCUACCCAUGAGCAGGUUGAAGGUGAGGUAAAACUCACUGGAGGACCGAACCAGGGCACGUUGAAAAGUGCUUGGAUGACUUGUGGGUAGCGGAGAAAUUCCAAACGAACUUGGAGAUAGCUGGUUCUCUCCGAAAUAGCUUUAGGGCUAGCGUCGAUGUUAAGUCUCUUGGAGGUAGAGCACUGUUUGGGUGAGGGGUCCAUCCCGGAUUACCAAUCUCAGAUAAACUCCGAAUGCCAAUGAAUUAUGGUCGGCAGUCAGACUGCGAGUGCUAAGAUCCGUAGUCGAAAGGGAAACAGCCCAGACCACCAGCUAAGGUCCCAAAAUAUAUGUUAAGUGGAAAAGGAUGUGGGGUUGCACAGACAACUAGGAUGUUAGCUUAGAAGCAGCUAUUCAUUCAAAGAGUGCGUAAUAGCUCACUAGUCGAGUGACCCUGCGCCGAAAAUGUACCGGGGCUAAAACAAUUUACCGAAGCUGUGGAUACCUUUAUAGGUAUGGUAGGAGAGCGUUCUAUGUGUGGAGAAGGUGUACCGUGAGGAGCGCUGGAACGCAUAGAAGUGAGAAUGCCGGUAUGAGUAGCGAAAGACAGGUGAGAAUCCUGUCCACCGUAAGACUAAGGUUUCCAGGGGAAGGCUCGUCCGCCCUGGGUUAGUCGGGACCUAAGGAGAGACCGAAAGGUGUAUCCGAUGGACAACAGGUUGAUAUUCCUGUACUAGAGUAUGUAGUGAAGGAGGGACGCAGUAGGCUAACUAAAGCGUGCGACUGGAAGUGCACGUCUAAGCAGUGAGGUGUGAAUUGAGUUAAAUGCUUAAUUCUAUAACAUUGAGCUGUGAUGGGGAGCGAAGUUUAGUAGCGAAGUUAGUGACGUCACACUGCCAAGAAAAGCUUCUAGCGUUAAUCAUACUCUACCCGUACCGCAAACCGACACAGGUAGUCGAGGCGAGUAGCCUCAGGUGAGCGAGAGAACUCUCGUUAAGGAACUCGGCAAAAUGACCCCGUAACUUCGGGAGAAGGGGUGCUGGCUUUCAGUCAGCCGCAGUGAAUAGGCCCAAGCAACUGUUUAUCAAAAACACAGCUCUCUGCUAAAUCGUAAGAUGAUGUAUAGGGGGUGACGCCUGCCCGGUGCUGGAAGGUUAAGAGGAGUGCUUAGCGUAAGCGAAGGUAUGAAUUGAAGCCCCAGUAAACGGCGGCCGUAACUAUAACGGUCCUAAGGUAGCGAAAUUCCUUGUCGGGUAAGUUCCGACCCGCACGAAAGGCGUAAUGAUUUGGGCACUGUCUCAACGAGAGACUCGGUGAAAUUUUAGUACCUGUGAAGAUGCAGGUUACCCGCGAC
rnacentral:rRNA from 1 species